rnacentral:rRNA from 1 species
GACGAACGCUGGCGGCGCGCUUAACACAUGCAAGUUGAACGGAAAGGCCUGCUUUCCCUUGUGGAUUGCGGGUACUCGAGUGGCGAACGGGUGAGUAACACGUGAGUGAUCUGCCCCCAACUUGGGUAUAAGCCUGGGAAACUGGGUCUAAUUCCCGAUAGGACUGCAGGGUGGUGCCUGUGGUGGAAAACGAUUUUCUAGUGGUUGGGGAUGAGCUCGCGGCCUAUCAGCUUGUUGGUGGGGUAAUGGCCUACCAAGGCGGCGACGGGUAGCCGGCCUGGGAGGGUGGACGGCCGCAUUGGGACUGAGAUACGGCCCAGACGCCUACGGGAGGCAGCAGUGGGGAAUAUUGCGCAAUGGGCGGAAGCCUGAUGCAGCGACGCCGCGUGGGGGAUGACGGCCUUCGGGUUGUAGACUCCUUUCGACCGCGAGGAAGCCACCUGGUUGGAAGGGUGGUGACGGUAGUGGUAGAAGAAGCACCGGCUAACUACGUG